GACGGAGGGGGCGAGCGUUGUCCGGAAUUACUGGGCGUAAAGGGCGCGUAGGCGGUUCUGUACGGCGGUGGUGAAAGCUCCCGGCUCAACUGGGUGAGGCCCGCCGCAACGGCAGGACUCGAGGGUGGUAGAGGCGGAUGGAAUUCCUGGUGUAACGGUGAAAUGUGUAGAGAUCAGGAGGAACACCCGUGGCGAAGGCGGUCCGCUGGGCCAUGCCGGACGCUGAGGCGCGAAAGCCAGGGGAGCGAACGGGAUUAGAUACCCCGGUAGUCUUGGCCGUAAACGAUGCAGACUAGGUGUCAGCGGUAUCGACCCCGCUGGUGCCGGAGCUAACGCGUGAAGUCUGCCGCCUGGGGAGUACGGCCGCAAGGUUGAA
rnacentral:rRNA from 1 species